GUCAUAAACCUUGUGUUAAAAUUUCAUAGAUUUCUAUUUACUUUUACUAAAGUUAGAGUGCGAAAACUAAAAGUAUUCGGACGACGAUGACGACGCCAACAUCAUACCAAUAUUACGACCAAAAAAAUUUCAAUUUUUGCGGUCGUAUAAAAAGAGCUAGUAUUGUAUUCUUUGAUAUUAAGUUCAAUUCUCCAUGCAGAAACGACAAUUUUUUUUUAUGUCCAGUAGCAUCGUAUAUUCUUAAAAUAGUUUCCCGUACAAUGUCUGGACAUCGGUGGACAUGCAACAUGGCAAAACCAGUUUACAAAUGAAAACCAACACUCUGCAGACUAUAGUUAUAAAGUAGGACAAUAAAUGAACAAAAGACAAACCCGGGACACAGAAGUACAAACAAUAGACCAUCAACUCUGAAAACUAAAAGUAAAAUAGAAACAUGGACCACAAAUAACAUGCAGGGGCGACAUCAGAGAGACUUGCAAGACACUUUCCGUGAAAACAAUUCAGUUUGAUAUGAAAACGAUCUUGUUUCACUCUUUUUUUUUUUUUUUUAAUUUUUAACAUGAGGCAUUUGCCUCAUUUGCCUCAAAGUAGUUACGGCCCUG
rnacentral:lncRNA from 1 species